rnacentral:lncRNA from 1 species
GUCAACCAGAUGCUCCGCAGGGCGCAGCUUUAUACGACCGCAGAGGUUAAACCCUGAACGGUUGGGGCAAGCAUGGACACAACAUUCAAGCUGGAUUUAGCUCUAAAUUUGGAUUGUGAUUAAAUAGUUGACACAGCAUAGGUUUCUGACACAGAAUGAAUGUGGUCUAAUAAACUUAAAAUUUGUUUUUUUUUUUUUGCCUUUGAGCAAUUCACUAUGCUGUUGAAUAUUAAUCCUCUCAAAAAAAUGUUUGAAGAAAUUUUCUUUUUAUUUAUGAAAUCUGAAAUGAGAAAAAUUGAACCCC